AUGCAAAUGGCAAACAAGGAAUCAAAAAGUAAGACUUGAUUGAUACCUCGAGGUUGCUUCAUGAAACUUUCUUUUCAGUCUUCAAAAACGAGUGUGCAUCCUUUCAUGUUUGACCAACAAUUUUUGAUCACAUUGAACUCACCACCAGUUCAAUUAUCUAAUGGUCUUCAGAACUAUUAAAAAGGGUGAAAAGUUACAAAUUGUCAUUUCAAUCCAAGAUAACCUUCUGAAGCUUAAGAAAAAGGUAAUCACAACAUAUUCCACUCAAAUGUUUUUGUAAAAAUAGCCUGGAAUUAUUAUGACUCGUGAUAUUUAGUGUGGUUGUUUGCCUUAUCAUACGGUGUCCGUUCAUUUAGCUAGCUGAUGAAUAAUAGGAAAUUUAUUGUAAAAUGCUUCACGCAUGUAAAAACUAAUGCUUGAUGCAGUUUUUCAUUCUGUUAAUCGUGUGCACAGUCCAUGACCAUAGCUGAAACUAAAAUCCUAAACACUUUCUAGGUAGCUCGUAAUAAUACUAAUCUAUAUCUGGAAACUGGAUCACAUUGAAUAUCACAAAUUUUCAUGUGUAUGUAAAAUAUAGCAGAAUGGAUACCCUGAAGUAAUUAUUAUCAACCAUCAUAUAUAUCAGUUGCCCAGUGCAUACUAUAUAUGUGUUAAGGACAAUUUUUCUGUUGUAAUAAAAAUGCUGGAAGAUCUCAGAAAUAGGUAUGGACCUAUUAGAGAUAUAUUAUGCAAUGCACUUGGCACAAAUCUGGCUUACAAAAUUGCAGAAAUAGCACAAAUAGAUAGAUACUUCCCUGCUGACUCGAUAUAGAGGCGACUGUCACCAAAAAACAAAAUGGUUUUUAAAUAUGAACAGUUGGGUCAGCAACAAUGUUACCUCAAACUUGAAAUCCUCAUUCAACAAAUUUGGCUUGGUAUCCUCGUUCUCUGUACACAUUACCUAAAACAUGGAUGGAUCAAAGAUUGGAGCUAGGCAAGGGAAAGAAAGGUCCACUUUGCAUUGGAUCAAAUAAUGUUGUAUUGGAAGGAGUACUAUUGGAUCACCGCCUUGUGCUGAAGCUCCUUUGACGUCUAAGCCGCCACCCAUGCAUGCUG
rnacentral:lncRNA from 1 species